rnacentral:snoRNA from 1 species
CAGAGUCUGAUGAUUAGUUGUCCUUGUCUAAAAAUCUCAGCUGAAGGAAAAUAAUUUAUUCUGAGGCUUUA